rnacentral:lncRNA from 1 species
GAUCCGGACGGCGGCCUUGGACCGAGGCCGAGUCGCGCUUGUGCACCCUGUGCGCCAACAAGCCGCCCAGACACAGUACUAGGAGUUUUUUACUGGGACCAAGCUUCAAUUUCUCCAAGGAAAGGCCACCUAAGUCAUCUGCUGCACCGUCGCUGCCGUCGUCAUCCCCAACAACAUUCUUCAGCUUCAUGCCUUGGAUUUUUGCUGCCAUUUGAUGAUUCAAGAGCACCACGUGUCAAUGAUUUUCACAGCGAGAGAGGUAGAAAAGGAAGGUUAAAUUUAUAGAUGGAGGAAGCGAAAUGAAUACGCAUUUUUAACUAGGAGUUUUUUAAAAAAAAAACAAGUUUUUUACUGGGACCAAGCUUCAAUUUCUCCAAGGAAAGGCCACCUAAGUCAUCUGCUGCACUGUCCCUCUCGUCGUCGCUGCCGUCGUCAUCCCCAACAACAUUCUUCAGCUUCAUGCCUUGGAUUUUUGCUGCCAUUUGAUGAUUCAAGAGCACCACGCGUCAAUGAUUUUCACAGCGAGAGAGGUAGAAAAGAAAGGUUAAAUUUAUAGAUGGAGGAAGCGAAAUGAAUACGCAUUUUUAACUUCUCUUUUACGUGUGUGUCAACUAAGGAAAAUCUUUUGGAAUUUCGAGGUUCAUGCUCAUGCAUAGAAAUACAGAGCCCCAAGGAGGCAGUGACCAAUCGAAUUCUAUACAUUCUAUUCUUCCUUCUACUACUAUUGUAAUACUGAAUUAAGUAC